rnacentral:rRNA from 1 species
AUGAAUUGACGGGGGCCCGCACAAGCGGUGGAGCAUGUGGUUUAAUUCGAUGCAACGCGAAGAACCUUACCUGGUCUUGACAUCCACAGAACUUUCCAGAGAUGGAUUGGUGCCUUCGGGAACUGUGAGACAGGUGCUGCAUGGCUGUCGUCAGCUCGUGUUGUGAAAUGUUGGGUUAAGUCCCGCAACGAGCGCAACCCUUAUCCUUUGUUGCCAGCGGUCCGGCCGGGAACUCAAAGGAGACUGCCAGUGAUAAACUGGAGGAAGGUGGGGAUGACGUCAAGUCAUCAUGGCCCUUACGACCAGGGCUACACACGUGCUACAAUGGCGCAUACAAAGAGAAGCGACCUCGCGAGAGCAAGCGGACCUCAUAAAGUGCGUCGUAGUCCGGAUUGGAGUCUGCAACUCGACUCCAUGAAGUCGGAAUCGCUAGUAAUCGUGGAUCAGAAUGCCACGGUGAAUACGUUCCCGGGCCUUGUACACACCGCCCGUCACACCAUGGGAGUGGGUUGCAAAAGAAGUAGGUAGCUUAACCUUCGGGAGGGCGCUUACCACUUUGUGAUUCAUGACUGGGGUGAAGUCGUAACAAGGUAACCGUAGGGGAACCUGCGGUUGGAUCAC